rnacentral:rRNA from 1 species
AUACAGAGGGAGCAAGCGUUGUUCGGAAUUACUGGGCGUAAAGGGCGCGUAGGCGGUUCAGCAAGUCUUGUGUGAAAUCCCCCGGCUCAACUGGGGAACUGCAUAGGAAACUGCUGGACUUGAGUUCGAGAGAGGGAAGCGGAAUUCCGGGUGUAGCGGUGAAAUGCGUAGAUAUCCGGAGGAACACCGGUGGCGAAGGCGGCUUCCUGGACCGAUACUGACGCUGAGGCGCGAAAGCUAGGGUAGCAAACAGAAUUAGAAACCCCGGUAGUCC